rnacentral:snoRNA from 1 species
ACGCAUACCAGUAGACCUUGUCUAGCCCUCCUCGUGGCCAGAGAGGGGGGAUGGUAAAUGCAAGAGAAAAUCCGGAGUUGCUACCAGAUGCGAUCAGCCUCCCAUGUGGCUGAUCUGAACUGCAUUGCUCCAACACGC